ensembl:lincRNA
UGCGAUCGAGAGGCCGGGGACCGGGAGCGGAGGCUGGGGUGCGAGCGAAGAAAAGCGCGGCUGCGUCCCAGCCCAGAACUCCAGCUUCAGCUGCAAAUCGCACGCGCUGAUUUGCAUGUCAUUUGCAUGGCGCUCCGGGAGUGGCCCCGAGCCCUCCUGCCACGCCCCCCUCCGUGCUGGGUCGGGGCGCAGUGAGCCAAGGAUCCCAGCUCAGCGCAGCCAGAGCUUGGACCGAGUCUGCCCCGCCACGGACCGGUUCUCACCAGCGUACUGGACCGGAGAGCCGAAGAGCCGGCCGCGUGGGUCUGAGACGUUAGGUUUACCGGAACAUCGAUCGGUACAGGACGCGAGGUCGCAUGCUUGGAAAAGUGCAGUGGGAACCAUAACAAAAGAGUUCCUGUUAACUAAGUGGUCCUUGAUAACUACUCCUGCAACAUGAGACUGUGAACCAAGCCUCAAGAACUCUACUCUGGGCUCUACACCUCUCGUAACCUUUUCAUUCACUCAUGUUGCUCUGCUGCCACUGGUAAUACCCAAGUGUCCCCCAAAUCUUUCCCUUCUGGGCUCCACAGCCACACCCAGCUACUGGACUUCUUUACCUGGGAUUCAUACCCAAUGGCACCCUCUUCCCCUUUCCCCAAUAAACUUGCUCAGUUUCCUGGCUUUCGGGUUAACAAUACUGGCACCCAUCCAGCUGCCCAGGCCAGACACUAGGGUUUCCUAUGGGAUUUCCUGCCUACACAGAUGGUAAAUCCCCUCCUCCCUCAGUUCCCACUACCACUGGCUGUCCCUUCAGCUGUGUGGCAGGCUUCCAGCUGGGCUUCCCUAAUCCAUAAUCCAUACUACUUUGGGCACACAUGAUUGUCCUUGACAUACAUCUCUUAAUAGAAUUCUCCUCCGCAGAUAUCCAGAGCAGACCAAAUUCCCCAUCUGUUUGGAGCUCUUCUUUAGCUAUUCAUCAUAAGCUCCACUCCAGCUUGCAGCUCUGAACAUGCCUUGCCAGUCCAAGACUUACCAGCCUUUCCUGACCUCUGAAAACCCCUUAUCUGUGACACUGAGUGAGCCCUAAAGUCUGACUGACACCCCCCCACCCCGGUGCCAAAAGCAUGUGCUUCAUCCUCAGUAAUCUUCUGAGACUCCGAGCACAAGGAUUGGUUUUGCUUUUUUUAUAUACCCUGGCAACCAACAGGAAGCUUGGCACAAAGUAAAUGAAUAAAUGCAGGUAUUGUAUUGUUUAUCUGUGGAAAUAAAUUUUAACUUGCAUUAACUGUCACGAUGGUUACCUUUAGGUGUCAACUUGACUAGAUUAAGGGUGGCUCAGAGAAAGAGUACAGCAUAGCUCAUGGGCGUGCCUGUGAGGGGAUUUGCAAAGGUGACUGAUGUGCCAGUUGGUAGAGUGAAUGAGGAAGAUUUGCCCUCCACAUUGGUAGGCACCAUCCCGUCGCCUGGGGGCCCCAUAGAUCAGCAGCAACAAAAAGCACAGCAAAAGCAAUUUCCUGUCUCUGUUCUGGAGCUGGGACACUCUUCUCUUGCCCUUAGACAACAAGACUCUUGGACUUUAGGACUUACACCAGCAGCCACCAAGGUUAUCAGGCCUUUUGCAAAUCACACUGUUGGCUUCCCUGGUUCUGAGGCUUCAGACUUGAACUGAGCCCCAGGGCCUCCAGCUUACAGAUGGCCAGUUGUGGGACUUCUUGGUCUCCAUAAUUAUGUGAAUCAAUCCCCUCAAUAAAUCCCAUCUUAUAUCUAUGUCUUAUUAGUUCUGUCUCUUUGAAGAACACUAACUAGUAUCGUUGCAAAAAUAAAACUAGAAAAAACUAACAAUCUCAUUUAAAAAAAAAUGGAAUUUUUUGUGGAGCCAGUAAGGUUUCUUGCUGGACACCCACCUGUCUCAUACAGAUGAUCAGGACUUUGCAUAAAGAAUGGGAAUACCAAAACAAUGAAACCUGGUUUUUUGUUUGUUUGUUUGUUUUCACAGUACAAGGGAUCAAACUCAGGACCUUGUGCUUGGCAGGCAGGAUCAGUGCCACUGAGCUACAUCCUCAGCCAAUGGAACUUUUAAGAGACAGAGAAGAAAGAGGAAAAACUCCUUUGGGAGACUUUUAAAUUUUAAAUUUUUAUUUAGUUUCUUAGUAAAUGUACAUAGUUCGUAAUGUUUAUAUUCCUUGUGGGUGGUUAGUACAUGUAUAUAACACAUUUUAAUUCCUUUUUUUAAAUUUCCUUUCCCUUCCCUCAGCCCUCCAUCUCUUGAUCCCCUCUCCUCCAACCCUUUGAGCAUGUUUGCAGUACAUAAUAUUUACAGUCUUUGCAUGCAGUUGGUCCACAUAUGUAACAUGUCCCAAUAUUUCAUCUCUUUUCCAUCCUCUCCCUCCUCCUCCCUCUAUUUCUUAAACCACUUCUGCUUUGAGAAUGAUCUAUCUCCCUACUUCCUAUUAUCAUUUCCUUUGUCCUUCAUUUUUACUCUGAGUUUCUCACCCAUACAUUAUUUAUGCUGUGUGUCUGAUUUAUUUCACUAAACAUUAUGGUCUCAAAGUACAUCCAUUUUCCUACAUGUGAGUCAAAUUUAUCUUUUUUAUGGCAGUGUAGUACUCCAUUCUGUGUACAUAGCACAUUUUCUGUUCUCUUUCUUUCUUUCUUUUUUGGUACAGGGGAUCGAACUCAGGUCCUUGCACUUGUGAGGCAGGUGCCGGAAUCACUGAGCUAAAUCCCCGGCCCCUAUAGCACAUUUUCUUUAUCCAUUCAUUUGUUGAUAGACAUCUGAGCCACUUCCAGAUUUAGCUACUAGGUAUUGUGCUGCUAUAAACAUGGGUGUGUAUGGUGACCAUAAUAUGAUGUCUUUAACUCUUUCGGGAAGAUUUCUAGAAGGGGAAUAGCUGGGUCAAAUGGAAUUUCGAGGUUUACUUUUUUGAGGAAUUCUAGUACUGGUCUCCAUAGUAGCUGUACCAAUCUACACUCCCACCAACAGUGGAGAAGGAUUCCCUUUUCCCCACAGCUCUGCCAGUAUCUGUUAUUGGUUGAUUUCUUCAUAACAGCCAUUCUUUCUGAAAAUGAGAUGGAAUCUCAGUGUUGUUUUAAUUUGCAUUUCUCUAACAGCAGGCGAUGUUGAGCAUUUGUUCAUGUAUUUAUUGGCUGUUUGUACUUCUGUGUCUGUUCAUUUCUCUUCUCCUUUUUUUUUUUUUUAGCCAUGGCAAAGUUUAUUUGAAAAAGUAAAAGUGAAGAGCGAGAGAGAAACUGGCUGUGCAGUGUGAUCUUGGCCUGAGUAAAAGAGGAGAAAGCAAGAUAAAAGAAACACCCUUACUGGCACCAUGCCUUUGCAAGGUCCUGAGUUCAAUCUCUGGUACCAAAAAAAAAAGAAAAAAAAAGAAAGAAAAGAAAAGAGAAUGCCCUUAGG